GUAAAAAGACGAUUUUGCCCCUGGGUAUGGGCAAAAAAGCUGCUGGUAACCGGCGAUGUAGCCUCCCUAAGUUGCAAAAGGAAUUGCACAGGAUUUGCACAGGAUUUGCACUUUGGCAAAUGGCAAUGGAGGUGAUUUCUAAUCUAGAGCCUUGAUUCGGAAAGUGGCCCACGUACUUAUAUAUUCGAGGCGGAGAAUUCUCUUUAGGCGACUUUUGAAAGUGUUAAAGUGGUCUAUCAGUUUGUUUACACAAGUCUCUAAGGAUCAAUAAGCAUUGUCCAUCUGCAGGUUUGAAGAUGUUGCAUCAUUGGGAUCGGGAAUAGAGAGCUUGUAUUUAGUUUUGAUUUGCUAAGUUAACUUGGGUUUGUUAAUUGGGACUUUAAACUUGUCGUACUAUUUAUAUUUCCUUAUUUUCGUUGGUUGAUUUUUGGGGACUAAAUCUGUAAUCGAUUAUUUAUAAACCUAAAGUUAGUUUUAUGUUUUCCGCUGCAAAAUUCUGAAUAAGCCGUUACGUUUUCACA